rnacentral:rRNA from 1 species
AUUGAACGCUGGCGGCAGGCUUAACACAUGCAAGUCGAGCGGGGUGAUGGUGCUUGCACUAUCACUUAGCGGCGGACGGGUGAGUAAUGCUUAGGAAUCUGCCUAUUAGUGGGGGACAACAUCUCGAAAGGGAUGCUAAUACCGCAUACGUCCUACGGGAGAAAGCAGGGGAUCACUUGUGACCUUGCGCUAAUAGAUGAGCCUAAGUCGGAUUAGCUAGUUGGUGGGGUAAAGGCCUACCAAGGCGACGAUCUUUAGCGGGUCUGAGAGGAUGAGCGGCAAGACGGGGACUGAGACAGGGCCCAGACUCCUACGGGAGGCAGCAGUGGGGAAUAUUGGACAAUGGGGGGAACCCUGAUCCAGCCAUGCCGCGUGUGUGAAGAAGGCCUUAUGGUUGUAAAGCACUUUAAGCGAGGAGGAGGCUCUUUUGGUUAAUACCCAAGAUGAGUGGACGUUACUCGCAGAAUAAGCACCGGCUAACUCUGUGCCAGCCGCCGCCGUAA